rnacentral:rRNA from 1 species
AGGGGGAUAACAUCCGGAAACGGGUGCUAAUACCGCAUAGUUUUCUUGAUCGCAUGAUCGGGAAAGGAAAGACGGCCUUUGUGCUGUCGCUUAUGGAUGGACCCGCGGCGUAUUAGUUAGUUGGUGAGGUAACGGCUCACCAAGACGAUGAUACGUAGCCGACCUGAGAGGGUGAUCGGCCACAUUGGGACUGAGACACGGCCCAAACUCCUACGGGAGGCAGCAGUAGGGAAUCUUCCGCAAUGGACGAAAGUCUGACGGAGCAACGCCGCGUGAGUGAAGAAGGUUUUCGGAAUCGUAAAACUCUGUUGUCAGAGAAGAACAAGUUGGAGAGUAACUGCUCCAGCCUUGACGGUAUCUGACCAGAAAGCCACGGCUAACUACGUGCCAGCAGCAGC